UGGMGGCGUGCUUAACACAUGCAAGUCGAACGAUGAAGCCCAGCUUGCUGGGUGGAUUAGUGGCGAACGGGUGAGUAACACGUGAGUAACCUGCCCUUAACUCUGGGAUAAGCCUGGGAAACUGGGUCUAAUACCGGAUAGGAGCGCCUACCGCAUGGUGGGUGUUGGAAAGAUUUAUCGGUUUUGGAUGGACUCGCGRCCUAUCAGCUUGUUGGUGAGGUAAUGGCUCACCAAGGCGACGACGGGUAGCCGGCCUGAGAGGGUGACCGGCCACACUGGGACUGAGACACGGCCCAGACUCCUACGGGAGGCAGCAGUGGGGAAUAUUGCACAAUGGGCGCAAGCCUGAUGCAGCGACGCCGCGUGAGGGAUGACGGCCUUCGGGUUGUAAACCUCUUUCAGUAGGGAAGAAGCGAAAGUGACGGUACCUGCAGAAGAAGCACCGGCUAACUACGUGCCAGCAGCCGCGG
rnacentral:rRNA from 1 species